rnacentral:rRNA from 1 species
UACGUAGGGUGCGAGCGUUGUCCGGAAUUAUUGGGCGUAAAGAGCUCGUAGGCGGUCUGUCGCGUCUGUUGUGAAAACUCGAGGCUCAACCUCGGGCUUGCAGUGGAUACGGGCAGACUAGAGUGCGGUAGGGGAGACUGGAAUUCCACGUGUAGCGGUGAAAUGCGUAGAUAUGUGGAAGAACACCGGUGGCGAAGGCGAUUUUCUAUCUUAUACCUGACGCUGAGGCGCGAAAGCAAGAGGAUCAAACAGG